GACGAACGCUGGCGGCGUGCCUAAUACAUGCAAGUCGAACGCAGUGGGGACGGGUGAGUAACACGUGGGUAACCUCCCAUCAGAGGGGAUAACACUUGGAAACAGGUGCUAAAACGAUAGAGAUGGAAGGACCAGCGGUGCAUUAGCUAGUUGGUGAGGUAACGGCUCACCAAGGCCACGAUGCAUAGACGACCUGAUAGAGUGAUCGGCCCCACUGGGACUGUGACACGGCCCAGACUCCGACGGGAGGCAGCAGUAGGGAAUCUUCGGCAAUGGACGAAAGUCUGACCGAGCAACGCCGCGUGAGUGAAGAAGGUUUUCGGAUCGUAAAACUCUGUUGUUAGAGAAGCGGUAUCUAACCAGAACGCCACGGCUAACUACGUGCCAGCCGCCGCGGUAAUAC
rnacentral:rRNA from 1 species